UAUCACAGUGUCAUUGGGUCGC
rnacentral:miRNA from 1 species